rnacentral:rRNA from 1 species
UACGGAGGGUGCAAGCGUUAUCCGGAUUCACUGGGUUUAAAGGGUGCGUAGGUGGGUCUGUAAGUCAGUGGUGAAAUCUCCAAGCUUAACUUGGAAACUGCCGUUGAUACUAUAGACCUUGAAUGCUGUGGAGGUGAGCGGAAUAUGUCAUGUAGCGGUGAAAUGCUUAGAUAUGACAUAGAACACCAAUUGCGAAGGCAGCUCACUAGCCAGAUAUUGACACUGAGGCACGAAAGCGUGGGGAUCAAACAGG